rnacentral:rRNA from 1 species
UACGGAAGGCAGCAGUGGGGAAUAUUGCACAAUGGGCGCAAGCCUGAUGCAGCCAUGCCGCGUGUAUGAAGAAGGCCUUCGGGUUGUAAAGUACUUUCAGCGGGGAGGAAGGCGGUGAAGUUAAUAGCUUCACCGAUUGACGUUACCCGCAGAAGAAGCACCGGCUAACUCCGUGCCAGCAGCCGCGGUAAUACGGAGGGUGCAAGCGUUAAUCGGAAUUACUGGGCGUAAAGCGCACGCAGGCGGUCUGUCAAGUCGGAUGUGAAAUCCCCGGGCUUAACCUGGGAACUGCAUUCGAAACUGGCAGGCUAGAGUCUUGUAGAGGGGGUAGAAUUCCAGGUGUAGCGGUGAAAUGCGUAGAGAUCUGGAGGAAUACCGGUGGCGAAGGCGGCCCCUGGGACAAAGACUGACGCUCAGGUGCGAAAGCGUGGGGAGCAAACGAGGAUUAGGAUACC